UGCUGCAGGAAGGGGUGGAGCCUGGCUGCACCCCUCCUAGACCUAUUUAAGAGCUGAGUACCAGUUGGAAAGGUUCUCUUCUAGAGAAUGCCUCUGCUGGAGUUCUGCGAGUGAGCCCAGGAUAGGGACUUAUUAUUAUUAAGGCCAUAGAACUCUGGAUGCAUUAAGUUAAUCAGCUUGUCCUGCACUGACAGAUUUCUUCAUUUCAUCUUUGAAAUGUGAUUCCUCAUUUCUGCUCCAAGAAGUCCAUUAUAAAUGUCUCCUACGGCUUUCUGCCAUCUCGUCUCUUUUGUGAAAGGAACAGCACUUGAGGACCACUGCUGAUGGCAGGCAUGACAGUGUGCAAGGAGGGGAUGUGUUAUUGCCCAGAGAGCUGGCGGGACCUAACGUGACAUUAAUGGCCUUGGAGCAGUUUUUCUGAAGAGUGGACUCCUACAGAGCAGCAUAUUUGUGUAUGUACCUGCCUACCUACAUAGAAUAAUGAUACCAUUCUCAUGAAAAUGCCACUGGACACUGUGGUCAGAUGCAUCUUCCCAAGAUUGUUAGGUGUGCACAUAGGAGAGAGCAUCAUGCUGCCAGUCACUUGUACAUGGAACGCUUCGGAGCGCUUGCUUCAGCUCCAACUGGAUUAGGACCACUCAACAAGCAUGGUGUAGGGAGGAUCCUUGUGCUUUGAUUUUUUUCCCAGGCAGGAGAAGUGUUAAAUAUGCUUCAUUUUUUCCUCUCUCCCUCUUUUGGGAAAUGCCUGACUGAAUUUGUUCCUUCUACUAUCUUCUUCCUACGUAUUCUUUGCUGACACUGAGUCCGAGGUGUACUGGCUGCUUAAAGAAGAUGGAAGGUAGGGAAAACAUUUUAUUUUUAUCAAACAUGUCUGAGGAAAGAUGCUGACAUUUUGGAGACGUCAAACUCUAAUGAGUAUGAUUGUUCUGCAAAUAAAAGACUGGAAAAGCUUUAUUAAAGAGACUAUCAGAUUGGGAAUUCAAAUGGAGAAAAAGGAAGAAUCACCAGCUAGACCCUUGGAGAAGUUUGACUGAAAACUCAGUGUUCAGACUGUACACUUAUUGAACCCUGAGGGCAGAGUUUCUUAGAUCAUGAAGUCUCACGCUGAUCAGAAACGUGCUGCAUGUUCAUGGGAGCCAUCAGUGCAAACACAAAGGCAUAGCUAUAUCUGUGCUCCUUCCUUUACACCACCAGUUGUAGCCACUGGGGAAACCAACCUUUCAACGCCCUCAGAACAUUCCUUGACAGUGCUUUGGGAUGUAACUCCUGUACCUGUAAUCUCAGGUGAGAUGAGAAAUACUUAAAAAAUAUGGGGAAGAUAUGGCAAGUUUUUAUGGCUUCGCUGCUGCGUGAGAACUAAGCCUUGCCAACUUCUCACAAUGUUGAGCUGAAGUGCUUUUUGAGAACAACUCAUUUAACACUACCUGAAACUACCCUUCCCUCAACCAUCUUUAAAGGAAGCAGACCAAAGGUUCUGUAAGUGACCCAACAUCUCUCUAUUUUGAUACUGAUAUUACCAGCAGUUUUCAGUUUGGUAGCAUU